CCUACGGGUGGCAGCAGUAGGGAAUAUUGCUCAAUGGGGGAAACCCUGAAGCAGCAACGCCGCGUGGAGGAUGAAGGUCUUAGGAUUGUAAACUUCUUUUGUUAGAGAAGAUUAUGACGGUAUCUAACGAAUAAGCACCGGCUAACUCCGUGCCAGCAGCCGUGGUAAUAUGGAGGGUGCAAGCGUUACUCGGAAUCACUGGGCGUAAAGGGUGCGUAGGCGGGGUAAUAAGUCAGAUGUGAAAUCCUGUAGCUUAACUACAGAACUGCGUUGGAAACUGUUACUCUGGAGUGUGGGAGAGGUAGGUGGAAUUCUUGGUGUAGGGGUAAAAUCCGUAGAGAUCAAGAGGAAUACUCAUUGCGAAGGCGACCUGCUGGAACAUUACUGACGCUGAGGCGCGAAAGCGUGGGGAGCGAACAGGAUUAGAUACCCGGGUAGUC
rnacentral:rRNA from 1 species